rnacentral:rRNA from 1 species
UACGAAGGGAGCUAGCGUUACUCGGAAUCACUGGGCGUAAAGCGUGCGUAGGCGGUUUUGUAAGUCAGAAGUGAAAGCCUGGGGCUCAACCUCAGAAUUGCUUUUGAAACUGCAUAACUAGAGUGUCAUAGGGGAUAGCGGAAUUCCUAGUGUAGAGGUGAAAUUCGUAGAUAUUCGCAAGAACACCAGUGGCGAAGGCGGCUCACUGGCCCGGUACUGACGCUGAGGUGCGAAAGCGUGGGGAGCAAACAGG